rnacentral:rRNA from 1 species
UACGUAGGGUCCGAGCGUUGUCCGGAAUUACUGGGCGUAAAGAGCUCGUAGGUGGUUUGUCGCGUUGUUCGUGAAAACUCACAGCUCAACUGUGGGCGUGCGGGCGAUACGGGCAGACUGGAGUACUGCAGGGGAGACUGGAAUUCCUGGUGUAGCGGUGGAAUGCGCAGAUAUCAGGAGGAACACCGGUGGCGAAGGCGGCAUCCUGGACCGGCAUUGACGCUGAUGAGCGAAAGCUAGGGGAGCAAACGGG